GCUCACUUGGCAGCACAUAUGCUAAAAUUGAAAUGAUAAAGAGAAGAUUAGCAUGGCCCCUGUGUAAGGAUGACACACAAACUGGUGAAGUGUUCCAUAUGUUU